UGAAAAUAAAUGGGCUUCUCUAAUUAGCCCUGGCCCACAGCUUAUAUCACACCCAAAAUCCUAUUCUUCCCAGCCCAAGUCCUUUCCUCACCAUCCUCGCCCUCCAUAUACAGCACCAAAGGUGAUACCCAAGCACCAUCAGUUUCUUGCCUACCUGUUCCUACACCUCCAAUGGUGACUUCUAAAACUACACAACCUACUCUCAAAGCCAGGGGAACAGGACG
rnacentral:misc_RNA from 1 species